rnacentral:rRNA from 1 species
UACGUAGGGUGCGAGCGUUAAUCGGAAUGACUGGGCGUAAAGGGUGCGCAGGCGGUUGGUCAAGACGGAUGUGAAAGCCCCGGGCUUAACCUGGGAGUGUCAUUCGUGACUGACGAACUAGAAUAUGGCAGAGGGAGGCGGAAUUCCACAUGUAGCAGUGAAAUGCGUAGAUAUGCGGAGGAACACCGAUGGCGAAGGCAAUCCCCUGGGCCUGCACUGACGCUCAUGCACGAAAGCGUGGGGAGCAAACAGG